GGCACGUUAGCAGAGUGGAUAUGCAGCGGAUUGCAAAUCCGUUUUACUUCGGUUCGAUUCCGAAACGUGCCU
rnacentral:tRNA from 1 species